ACCGCUGCUCUAAGGAGAACCGCUACGCCCACUGCCCCGUGGGUCAGGCCUCCGUGGUGGCAUGCCUUGCUCCAGGCCGAACCCAUGAGUGUACCUGUCUGUUCCCCCAGGGCAGGGUCUGGUCUUGUUCCCUUGGCACCCACAGCCCGCAGUGACCCCUGCGGUGCCCCUGGCGCUAGCUUACUCUGUGCCUUUUUCUUCCCUCCCACGACCCUGGGAUGGAGGAAGAGGGUCUGGUGGCACAUCACAGGCACACAGCGUGCCAGCUUAACCGGACCUCGCUGUGUGGGUCCGACGCUACAAGGACCCCCCCGGGUUCCUGCCUCCUGGGAUUUAUGUGCUAGAGACCUGCUCCUACCAACAGAACGUGGCAAAGGUUCGCCAGAUGGCGUGGGUCUUGCUGAGGUCCGGGACCGAGGGGGCGCGCAUGGAACUGGAGCCGACCCUGAGUGAGGGCUUGUGUACAAGUUCCUUUGGGAGGUGAUGCCAAGACACGCCAAGGAGGGAGCCGGACAAUGAGCAGUGAUGUGAAGCUCCCGGCAUGCCACAGCUGGGUGAAGAGCUGGACAAGGAUGUGCGGGCCGGGCUCCCGUGAGCCGGUGUGAGCCAUGGGACUGCAAGCUGCGCAGAGGAGGAAGGCGCUGGCAAAACGUGCAAAAUCAAGCCAGUGUCACCGUGAGCCACCAGAGCCCAACGCCGCUGGGGACGGCUGGGAGUGUGUAGAACAGAUGCCCCUGAGUCACCCCUUCGAGGAGGAGGGCCUGGGGCACCUGCCCACCAACGCCCCAACCAUCAUUGGCUCAGGCUGCCCCUGAGGGCCGGGGACAGGGGGGCGGGGAGGGGGAGGGAACUCACUGGCCUUCUGGUCAGGGCUCUGGGUAGCAGAGGAAGACACACUGGGGCUGGACAUUGCAGGUUGGGCCCACGUGCGUGAAAAUAGUAGGUCUGCUGAGGUGUUCGUGGGUGUAUCCUGGGCCUUGAGCCUCACGCCUGGGGGUGUAGGGGUGUCACUCCAGAGAACUCGGCUCCUGGUCUCCCCCGGGACAGACACUGCUCGCAGCCUGUGUUCCCCACGACUUCGCCCUCGGGUCUUUCACGGGAAGCGGGGAAGAGGGAUGAGAGGCGGAGGCGGGAGAAAGUACCACCCACGGCCCAGCAGCCUCUCCCACCGCCCGCACCUCGCACGGAAGUAGGUCACACGGAAGAACUCCGCGUCCCCGUCAAAGUUUCAGGCAGAAACAAUAACUUGGUUUUGACCUUGCUCUUCAGAAAGCAAGUCGCUGCUGAGCUGCAACAUCAAAAAGAAUAAAUAAUUGUUUUCCUUU